UGUCACUGUUUUUUCUAACCUUUCUGUUUGAUGUUCGUUGUGAUUCUUUUCCUUAUUAUAAAACAAUCGGUUAAUUAUUAUGAUUAGUAUCAGACUAUUUUGAUGAGUGACCUUAACUUUCAACCUUUAGUCCAGCCUUAAUUGUGUGUGGUUAGUUGAUUGAGCAAAGUAUAUAAGACGAAAUGAUUUAGUUGUAAAUUAUCACAUUUCAUUUGAAUCUGUUCAUCAAGCAACAAGUGGUUUCAUUAAAAAAGAAUCUUCUUAAUCAUCAUGAAUUCAAAGAUUUUAAUCAUCUCCCUUAUUCUUGCUGCCACUCUUUUGGUGACUGAAGCCACUUUGAAGAUCACUCUCCAUAAGAAACACAUCAGUUUACCAAUUCCAACCAAAGUUUCAUUGGGUUUAAUUGGUCAUGAUGAUUGGUGGAGUCAACCAUCAUGGUCAUCAUGGCCUUCAUGGCCUUCAUGGGGAUGGGGAUGGGAAGACAAUAGCUGGUGGUAAAUCAUCAACAUCAACAUCACAUCAUCAACAACAACGAUUAAGAUCACUUAAUCUACUCAAUUGUCACCAAUUACCAACAUCAUCAAGAAUCUCAAUGUAAUUUUAUCCUCAUUGUAAUAACAUCUCACAUUAAACAUUCAUAUUGAUAUUUAUAACAUCAUAUUCAUACAAUCAAUAAAUGAGAUUCAGUUUAAAACAUAAA